UAUUGGGAAUGAAAUAACCAGCAAAAGCUCUGUCACAUCACCAGAAUCCACCCGACACUCUGUGCCAGGCAAGAGUCUCACUGUCAGAGAUUUUAUCUGUGUAGACAUGAAAGUAUUGGAAGCACAAUGCAUUCUCUUAACACAAUCAGCUGUGGAAAACAAGCUCUUCCAUUACAAGAUUAGCUGUAAAGAAUACCAACAUCCAUAUUGGAGCAAAGACAAUAAAAAUAAGCCAUUCUAAAUUGCAAAAGUUAUACAUUUCAUUGACACAGAACAUAGUAACUGGCAUUGUUCUAUAAUGUCAAUUAAAAAGCACUACAAAGAAUAAGGUCUGAUUCAAAGACUACCAACAAGGCUAACUGUACAAGAGAAACAAAUGUCCCAUGAAGGAAAGAUACCAUGUUAAUGGAAAGAAGACAAUACUCCAUUAUUUGAAACACAAUCCUGGAGAAACACACAGCACAAGCAGAGCUUUCUGAAAGCUACAGCAACUUGAAACUGCUCCAUGGAGAAAUCCAGAGUGCAACUGUCAGGAGGAGGAGGAGCUGCACAUUUUUUAAAUUGUCUGGACUUGGUCUCUUUCCACUGGGAAGCUAGGAACGAGAUACUUCCUGGAGGACUUGGAGAACCGUCAGAACUGUCAUGAGAUGGUCUUU